UACGUAGGGUGCGAGCGUUGUCCGGAAUUACUGGGCGUAAAGAGCUCGUAGGUGGUCUGUCGCGUCAUUUGUGAAAGCCCGGGGCUUAACUCCGGGUUGGCAGGUGAUACGGGCAUGACUGGAGUACUGUAGGGGAGACUGGAAUUCCUGGUGUAGCGGUGAAAUGCGCAGAUAUCAGGAGGAACACCGGUGGCGAAGGCGGGUCUCUGGGCAGUAACUGACGCUGAGGAGCGAAAGCAUGGGUAGCGAACAGGAUUAGAUACCCCGGUAGUCC
rnacentral:rRNA from 1 species